UCUCAAAGAUUAAGCCAUGCAUGUCUAAGUUCAUGCCUUUAUACGGUGAAACCGCGAAUGGCUCAUUAAAUCAGCUAUGGUUUAUUGGAUCGUACUCGUUAAAUGGAUAACUGUAAUAACUCUAGAGCUAAUACAUGCCACGAAGCCCUGACCCCGCCCGUCGGGGAAUGGGUGCACUUAUUAGAACAGAAGCCAACCAGUUCAUGCAUUCCUCACGGAGUGUAUGGGCUGCAGCACUUCUGGUGACUCUGGAUAAUUGUUACAGAUCGCAGUCGGCUCUAUGUCGGCGACGGGUCCUUCAAAUGUCUGCCCUAUCAACUUUCGAUGGUAGGUGACCUGCCUACCAUGGUGAUAACGGGUAACGGGGAAUCAGGGUUCGAUUCCGGAGAGGGAGCCUGAGAAACGGCUACCACUUCCAAGGGAGGCAGCAGGCGCGCAAAUUACCCACUCUCAGAACGAGGAGGUGGUGACGAAAAAUACCGAUGCGGGACUCAUUAACGAGGCUCCGUAAUCGGAAUGAGUGGAUUUUAAAUCCUUUCACGAGGAUCAAUUGGAGGGCAAGUCUGGUGCCAGCAGCCG
rnacentral:rRNA from 1 species